rnacentral:lncRNA from 1 species
CCGAGGUGACUCAGCCGCUCACCAUUUCCGGAGCUGGUCUGGGGCACCUGGGCAGGGAAAUCCCAGCACUCGCCACAGCAUCUGUGAACCUGGAGACGUUAGACUGAGUGAAACUGGCCAGUCACAAAAGAAUGAAUACCAGCCGGGCAUGGUGGCUCACACCUGUAAUCCCAGCACUUCGGGAGGCCGAGGCAGGCGGAUCACAAGGUCAGGAGAUCGAGACCGUCCUGGCUAACGUGGUGAAACCCCAUCUCUACUAAAAAUACAGAAAACUUAGCCGGGCAUGGCAGCGUGCACCUGUAGUCCCAGCUACUCGGGAGGCUGAGGCAGGAGAAUGGCAUGAGCCUGGGAGG